AGAGGGGUUUUAUUGAUUAAAUAGAACUUUUUAUAAAAAUUUUCAAAUUGGAUGAGAUAUUAAAAUAAAUAGAAUAAAGUUCUAUUAGUAUAGAAAGUAUUUGCAAAUAUCUAAUCUACAAAAAUAUAUAUUCUAUCAUCCAAGAAAUUGAGUGAUUCCUUCUUUCUUCUAACUUUGAAAUGAAAAUACCGAUAGAUACUGUCAAGGGGCGAGUGUUCUGAAUCACUUAAUGAAGUUUAUUUUUCAAAAACAUCAUCAAAAAAAAAAAAGAAAUGAAGUUUUUUGAAACAACAGAAAGGGAAACCUAUUUUGUCCUUUAGACGAAAAAAAGUAUGAUUCUUAAGAACUCAACGGCUCCUCCCCCUUCGAAUCAGCCAAAGAAAGAAGGGAAUCCCGCCAAGUUCUUACGCUUUCAUGUCUACAACUUAAUUCAUUCGAUUACUACAGGGAUGAACCCAAUCUGGAAUAUGAACCAUAAAAGAAAACACC
rnacentral:lncRNA from 1 species